GCAGAGUGUUUUCAGUUUCUUGAAUAGAUUAUUAUAUGGGCACAACCACCACAUUUCCAAUUUCUCAUCAUCAAACAUUUUCCUGCCGUGCCUCCCUGCAGCUGCCAGGUUUCAAGACUUGCAGAAGAUGAGUCAUAGUGAUGGUGAGAGUGUUAUGUGCUCCAUUUGCCUGGUGGAUUUUAGGUCUGAAGAUUUAGUCACCCAACUCUCAAGGUGUAAACAUGUCUUCCACUUGGAUUGCAUUGACAAGUGGUUCCAUUUUCACCAAUUUACCUGUCCACUCUGCAGAUCCUCAUUUCUCUUCAACUGAAAUUCUAGUUCCUUAAGUGGGCUUUUGAUAUUUUCUCUUUAUUCUCCCCUACAUUCUAAUCUCAACAUAGAUGUUUUUCUUAUUUGAAAAUUCUUAAUUUAG
rnacentral:misc_RNA from 1 species